AACGGAGGAGCACGAAGGUUGGCUAAUCCUGGUCGGACAUCAGGAGGUUAGUGCAAUGGCAUAAGCCAGCUUGACUGCGAGCGUGACGGCGCGAGCAGGUGCGAAAGCAGGUCAUAGUGAUCCGGUGGUUCUGAAUGGAAGGGCCAUCGCUCAACGGAUAAAAGGUACUCCGGGGAUAACAGGCUGAUACCGCCCAAGAGUUCAUAUCGACGGCGGUGUUUGGCACCUCGAUGUCGGCUCAUCACAUCCUGGGGCUGAAGUAGGUCCCAAGGGUAUGGCUGUUCGCCAUUUAAAGUGGUACGCGAGCUGGGUUUAGAACGUCGUGAGACAGUUCGGUCCCUAUCUGCCGUGGGCGCUGGAGAACUGAGGGGGGCUGCUCCUAGUACGAGAGGACCGGAGUGGACGCAUCACUGGUGUUCGGGUUGUCAUGCCAAUGGCACUGCCCGGUAGCUAAAUGC
rnacentral:rRNA from 1 species